rnacentral:rRNA from 1 species
GACGAACGCUGGCGGCGUGCUUAACACAUGCAAGUCGAACGGAAAGGCCCUGCUUUUGUUGGGUUCUCGAUUGGCGAACGGGUGUGUAACACGUGAGUAACCUGCCCCUGACUUUGGGAUAACUCCAGGAAACUCCGGCUCAUACCGGAUAGGAUCUCCUGCUGCAUGGUGGGGGUUGGAGAGAUUCGGCCGUUGGGGAUGGACUCGAGGCUUAUGGGCCUGUUGGUGGGGUAGUGGCUUACCAAGGCUUUGACGGGUAGCCGGCCUGAGAGGGGUACCGGGGUCAUUGGGACUGAGAUAGGGCCCAGAAGGCUACGGGCGGCAGUAGUGGGGAAUAUUGCACAAUGAGCGCGAGCCUGAUGCAACGACGCUGCGUGCGGGAUACCGUGCUUCGGGGUAUAAACCGCUUUGGACUGUGACGAAGCGUGAGUGACGGUAACGGGUAAAGAAGCACCGGCUAACUACGUG